rnacentral:lncRNA from 11 species
ACCUGUGAAGUUGAAUCUUCUCCCUUAACAUAUCUCAAAGAGGUGGAACACUUAAUCCUUCUUCCACCUGCUCAGAUGAACUUGGUCUGCAGGCUGAAAAUUGGUAGGUUCCUCCAUAGGCUCUUCUUCCAAGCUAAACUGAGGAAGCUGCUGUGCACUGGUGCUCCAUUUCAAACACUGGCUCUUCAAACAGCACCUCCCCACCCUGGCUAUCAGACCUAUCCACAGCACCAUGGAUCACUGGGUCAUUCUGAUUCUCUAUGGACUGUAACAAUUAGAUCUGCCCACUUAAAUCAAGAUGUGGCAUGUCAGGAAUGCUAGAACAAUAAUAUGUUCUUCCUGCCUUUUCCAAGGCCAGAUGGGAAGAUUUUGUUGAUUAACGACUGCAUCAUGUGGGGCGGGAUUUGGUGGUAAACACCGAUCCAGCCCCGGUCACCCAUGAAGCCAGCCGGCUCCGAUCACACAACAUCAAGCUGGCUCCGUGGAUGAAGGAGGGCGGAACUGGCAUACCACCACCACUCUGGCAACACAGGAGGCUUCCCAUGUUGCCAUUCCUUCAAUGGAGGAAGAUCUGCUGGAGGAGCGCAGCAAAGUGGGGCAUGUAGCAUUGACUUCCCAAUAUCCGGCAGCAAACCGAAGUGCCACCAAGAGCCACUGCCUAAGGUUUAUAGCCAAGCCAUGUGCUUUAGGCCUAAAGGUUCAGGCCAAUGGACAACAAAAGGCACAGCCUAAUGCUAUUCAUGAAAAAGUCUUCACUGCGAUUACAAAGGUAGAGUAUGUGCAAUACCUUUACAUUAUUUUGGAAGAAUGAAAAG